UUAAUUUAAUUACAGGUCUAUCGAUAGACUAUGUGGAGAAUAAGCUUUAUUGGAUCAGUUCCGGAAAUAGAACCAUAAACCGAUGCAACCUGGAUGGUGGUAAUUUAGAAGUAAUAGAGUCAAUGAAAGAAGAAUUAAAAAAAGCUACAGCCUUAACCAUCAUGGGAUUAAUGGGCUGAACUCCAUGGAUCUAUGUUCCAUGGAAAUGAAACUGUGUCUGUUUUGUUGACCACUGUGAAACUCAAAAACUAUCCCAUAUAGGAGGCCAUGCAUGUAUGAGGUUCACUGUCCUGAGGGCCAUUCCAUCAAUGCAGUGAUAUGGAUUACAAGCAUUCAUGCCUUUCUGAAAGAGGACUUGACAAAAUGCAUGGAAGAUAGCAGUAGCAACAUGAAGAAUCUACAUGAAACUCAAGAAAAGUAGCAACACCAUGCACAGAUGGAAAUCACAAGCUGCAGAAGCUGCGGAACUGGCUACCAAAACGGUAAUGGAAAAUAGACAGCAAUUGAAUCAAUAAAUGUGAAAAAGCAUAGUGAAUGAUAUUCAGUGUGAUGUGAAAAUACCAAGGGAAAAUGUAGGGAAUGUAGCAGUGUCUAGAAGCAACAAAUAGUGCCCCUGAGGAAAUUGACCAGCCUCACAGCCCAGAGGAGAUCCUGGGACUUCUGUAGCUAUUUGCAAGUUGUGCAAAGA